UACGGAGGGUGCAAGCGUUAUCCGGAUUUACUGGGGUUAAAGGGUGCGCAGGCGGAUAUGUAAGUCAGUGGUGAAAUCUCUAGGCUUAACCUGGAAAUUGCCGUUGAUACUAUAUAUCUUGAAUGUUGUGGAGGUAAGCGGAAUAUGUCAUGUAGCGGUGAAAUGCUUAGAUAUGACAUAGAACACCUAUUGCGAAGGCAGCUUACUACGCAGAUAUUGACGCUCAUGCACGAAAGCGUGGGGAUCAAACAGG
rnacentral:rRNA from 1 species